GUGGACGCUGGCGGUAGGCCUAACACAUGCAAGUCGAACGGCAGCACAGUAAGAGCUUGCUCUUACGGGUGGCGAGUGGCGGACGGGUGAGGAAUACAUCGGAAUCUACUUUUUCGUGGGGGAUAACGUAGGGAAACUUACGCUAAUACCGCAUACGACCUACGGGUGAAAGCAGGGGAUCUUCGGACCUUGCGCGAUUGAAUGAGCCGAUGUCGGAUUAGCUAGUUGGCGGGGUAAAGGCCCACCAAGGCGACGAUCCGUAGCUGGUCUGAGAGGAUGAUCAGCCACACUGGAACUGAGACACGGUCCAGACUCCUACGGGAGGCAGCAGUGGGGAAUAUUGGACAAUGGGCGCAAGCCUGAUCCAGCCAUACCGCGUGGGUGAAGAAGGCCUUCGGGUUGUAAAGCCCUUUUGUUGGGAAAGAAAAGCAGCAGGUUAAUACCCCGCCGUUCUGACGGUACCCAAAGAAUAAGCACCGGCUAACUUCGUG
rnacentral:rRNA from 1 species